rnacentral:rRNA from 1 species
GACGAACGCUGGCGGCGUGCUUAACACAUGCAAGUCGAACGGAAAGGCCCUGCUUUUGUGGGGUGCUCGAGUGGCGAACGGGUGAGUAACACGUGAGUAACCUGCCCUUGACUUUGGGAUAACUUCAGGAAGCUGGGGCUAAUACCGGAUAGGAGCUCCUGCUGCAUGGUGGGGGUUGGAAAGUUUCGGCGGUUGGGGAUGGACUCGCGGCUUAUCAGCUUGUUGGUGGGGUAGUGGCUUACCAAGGCUUUGACGGGUAGCCGGCCUGAGAGGGUGACCGGCCACAUUGGGACUGGGAUACGGCCCAGACUCCUACGGGAGGCAGCAGUGGGGAAUAUUGCACAAUGGGCGGAAGCCUGAUGCAGCAACGCCGCGUGCGGGAUGACGGCCUUCGGGUUGUAAACCGCUUUCGCCUGUGACGAAGCGUGAGUGACGGUAAUGGGUAAAGAAGCACCGGCUAACUACGUG